rnacentral:rRNA from 1 species
CACGUAGGGUGCGAGCGUUGUCCGGAAUUAUUGGGCGUAAAGAGCUCGUAGGCGGUGUGUCGCGUCGGCCGUGAAAACCUGCAGCUUAACUGUGGGCUUGCGGUCGAUACGGGCAGGCUAGAGUUCGGUAGGGGAGACUGGAAUUCCUGGUGUAGCGGUGGAAUGCGCAGAUAUCAGGAGGAACACCGGUGGCGAAGGCGGGUCUCUGGGCAGUAACUGACGCUGAGGAGCGAAAGCGUGGGGAGCGAACAGG